rnacentral:rRNA from 1 species
GGUUGAGUAACACGUGGGCAACCUGCCUGUAAGACUGGGAUACCUUCGGGAAACCGGAGCUAAUNCCGGAUAAUCCUUUCCCUCNCAUGAGGGAAAGCUGAAAGACGGUUUNGGCUGUCACUUACAGAUGGGCCCGCGGCGCAUUANCUAGUUGGUGAGGUAANGGCUCACCAAGGCAACGAUGCGUANCCGACCUGAGAGGGUGAUCGGCCACACUGGGACUGAGACACGGCCCAGACUCCUACGGGAGGCAGCAGUAGGGAAUCUUCCGCAAUGGACGAAAGUCUGACGGAGCAACGCCGCGUG